UGGGAAGUCUGCAUUAGGAGUGGACAAGCAAACUGAAUCUAGCCUCUGUUUUCCAAAUUCUUUCGAUGGGUAAUAAUACUUCAGGGGAGAGAAGCAAACAAGCCCAUCAGUCAUCCACCAGACUCGCCUUAACUUGCACAUAAAUUAUAGAAAAAUACAAAAAGGGGAGAAAUAUACCUUGGCCUCGCUGCAAAGAUACGUGCAGACGAUGGAGCUUUACAGCAAAUUGGUGCAAACUCCGGAGGAAAUUGGUAGAGAAGAGAGAGUGCAGAGCCGUAGAGUCAGAUACGGUAUCCCAUGAAAACUGAGAUUUGUAUAAUCUCGAUUUGCUAAAGAUCGUCACCAUUGUACUUUGCUUUUCCAUCUCUGAAUUUGAUCUGUUUAAUUAAAGAUUGAUUUGGUUAUUAAUUUUUUUAUUUGUAUUUAUCGAUCAAUCAAUCAAUCACAUCGUGCUCCGUGCAACAGGCUACUGCUACCUCUCUAUGCCUCAGCAUUUGCUGGCUUCUUCGCUUACCGGUU
rnacentral:lncRNA from 1 species